rnacentral:rRNA from 1 species
AUGGACCCUGGCUCGUGGGAUGAAUCAGAAAAACUCACUCAAGAGGAUAAUAUUGAUCUGACUAGAACCUUCUCAGAAGAGGAGGUGAAAGAGGCCUUGUUUGCAAUGGAUGUUAAUAGAGCACCUGGCCCCGAUAACAUUCCUGCGGAGUUUUAUCAAUAUUGCUGGAACAUUGUUAAAAGUGACAUUAUGCGGCUGUUCAGCCACUUCCAUGCUGGAACGCUUGACGUGCAGCGCCUUAAUUAUGCGGUGAUUACUCUUCUCCCUAAAGUGUCAGGUGCGGAUCGCAUUCAGCAAUUUCGGCCUAUUUGUCUCCUUAGGUGCCCAUAUAAACUGAUUACUAAGACUAUGGAUCGAAGAGUAGAAAAAUAUGCUGACAAACUGAUAAGCUUGUCACAAAAUGCUUUUGUAAAAGGGAGGAAUAUUAUGGAUGGGAUCAUGACUUUACAUGAGCUCCUCAAUUACUCCCAUGUCAAGAAAAAGUAG